GAAAUGCGAUACGUAAUUUGAAUUGCAGAAUUUAGUGAAUCAUCGAAUCUUUGAACGCACAUUGCGCCCUCUUGUUAUUCCGGGGGCAAUGCCUGUUCGAGCGCCAUUACAACCCUCAAGCUUUGCUUGGUAUUGGAAAUUGCCGGUUUCUGGCAGGUCCUAGAAUCAGUGGCGGUGCCAUUUGGCUUCAAGCGUAGUAAUUCUUCUCGCUUUGGAGAUCCAGGUGGUUCCUUGCCAAUAACCCCAAAAAAAUUCAGGUUGACCUCGGAUCAGGUAGGGAUACCCGCUGAACUUAAA
rnacentral:misc_RNA from 1 species